GAUGAACGCUGCGGCGUGCCUCAUCCAUGCCCGUCGAGCGAACGGACGAGAAGCUUGCUUCUCUGAUGUUAGCGGCGGACGGGUGAGUAACACGUGGAUAACCUACCUAUAAGACUGGGAUAACUUCGGGAAACCGGAGCUAAUACCGGAUAAUAUUUUGAACCGCAUGGUUCAAAAGUGAAAGACGGUCUUGCUGUCACUUAUAGAUGGAUCCGCGCUGCAUUAGCUAGUUGGUAAGGUAACGGCUUACCAAGGCAACGAUGCAUAGCCGACCUGAGAGGGUGAUCGGCCACACUGGAACUGAGACACGGUCCAGACUCCUACGGGAGGCAGCAGUAGGGAAUCUUCCGCAAUGGGCGAAAGCCUGACGGAGCAACGCCGCGUGAGUGAUGAAGGUCUUCGGAUCGUAAAACUCUGUUAUUAGGGAAGAACAUAUGUGUAAGUAACUGUGCACAUCUUGACGGUACCUAAUCAGAAAGCCACGGCUAACUACGUG
rnacentral:rRNA from 1 species